GGCAGCCCUUCGCUCCUGCCCUGGCCCUGCGCGGGCAUUACCUGCCCCUGGGGGACGUUGGCUCCUGCCCCGGGGGGGUUAGGGGCGGUUCCGCUCUUGCCCCGGCGCCGGGGGGGAUCCGACUCCGCUGGGGCCCUGCUGGGAUCAGCACUGCCGACGCCCCCGAGAGCCUCCCGCCGCCCUCGUGGGGCCCAGGCGUCCGGGCGCCCCUGCUCAGCCCCGCCACACUGGGGACCCAGGCGUCUGGGUGCCCCCGCUUGGCCCUGCCGCCCCGGGGCCCAGGCGUCCGGGCAGCCCGCCGUACCUGCAGCCGGGCCUCCCCUCGCGCCCGUCACCGUUGCCUCUCGCCCGGGCGGGAGCCGGUGCUCGCGCGGGAGGAGGUUCCCCGGCGCCGCAGCCCCGGCCCCACUUGCGCUAUGACUGUGCAGGAUGCGGCCCCGCACGGCUCCCGCUUGCCCCGGCCCCCCCCCCCCGGGGGGAGGGCAGAGCGGGGGCGGCCGAGGGCGCCCGGGCACCUGGGCCCCCCAGCCAGCCCUGCGGGGCUGCACAGGGCCCGGACGCCUGGGCCCGCGUCUUGGCCCAGGGGGUGGGGGAUGCCCAGAUGCCCGGGUCCCCCACCCGGGUAACGGGGCCGCGUUUAGUGCCCAGACACCCGGACCCCCGUCACAGCCCGGAUGCCUGGGCCCCCAUCUCCCCCCGGGGUGCUGGACACCUGGGUCCCUGUCACUGCCGGGGCCCUGACGUGUCGGACGCCUGGGCCCCCGUCGCCUGGGCCCCGCGGCCAUUGGGCGCUGCGGUGCGGGGGCCGGGGGUGCUGUGGGGCUGGGGGCGGCGGCACCGCGGGGCCGGGGCGGCGUUUCGCUCUCGGGAUGAUUCGGGGCCGCUGCUGGCACCCUUUGUUGUGGGCUCGGGGUGCCGGGACGCGGCGCCCCGAUUCAUCCCGAAAGCAGCGCGUGGGUGCGGCGCCGGGGCCCCCCGGACGCCGGGGCCCGCGGGUGGGAAGGGCGGCAGCGCCAGGCAGCCCCGAACCGGGAAGCGGGGCAGCCCCCCCCACCCCAUAGGGACCUGCCGUAUAGGAGACCCUGCCCCAUAGGAGACCCUGCCCCACAGGGACUCUGCCCCAUAAGGACCCUGCUCCAUAGGGACCCUGCCCCAUAGGAGACCCUGCCCCANNNNNNNNNNNNNNNNNNNNNNNNNNNNNNNN
rnacentral:lncRNA from 1 species